AUUGAACGCUGGCGGCAGGCCUAACACAUGCAAGUCGAACGAGUGGCGGACGGGUGAGUAAUGUCUGGGAAACUGCCUGAUGGAGGGGGAUAACUACUGGAAACGGUAGAUAAUACCGCAUACCAUCAGAUGUGCCCAGUUGGGAUUAGCUGGUUGGGGGGGUAACGACUAACAAGGGCGACGAUCCCUAGCUGGUUUGAGAGGAUAACCAGCCCCACUGGAACUGAGCCACGGUCCAGACUCGUCCGGGGGGCAGCGGUGGGGAAUAUUGCACAAUGGGCGCAAGCCUGCUGCAGCCAUGCCGCGUGUAUGAAGAAGGCCUUCGGGUUGUAGAGUACUUUCAGCGGGGAGGCGUUACCCGCAGAAGAAGCACCGGCUAACUCCGUGCCAGCAGCCGCGGUAAUUC
rnacentral:rRNA from 1 species